GAUAGCAAAGCAGUCACAUUUCGCGUAUA
rnacentral:sRNA from 1 species